AGCAGCCGCGGUAAUUCCAGCUCCAAUAGCGUAUAUUAAAGUUGUUGCAGUUAAAAAGCUCGUAGUUGAAUUUCGGGAUUAGUAGGUUGGUCGUGCCUCUGGUAUGUACUCGCCUUACUGGUUCCUCCUUCUUGAAGAACUGUAAUGCCAUUAAUUUGGUGUUGCAUGGAAACAGGACUGUUACUUUGAAAAAUUAGAGUGUUUAAAGCAGGCCAUUGCCUGAAUACAUUAGCAUGGAAUAAUGAAAUAGGACGUUGAUCCUAUUUUGUUGGUUUCUAGGAUUGACGUAAUGAUUAAUAGGGAUAGUUGGGGGCAUUAGUAUUCAAUUGUCAGAGGUGAGAUUCUUGGAUUUAUUGAAGACUAACUACUGCGAAAGCAUUUGCCAAGGAUGUUUUCAUUAAUCAAGAACGAAAGUUAGGGGAUCGAAGACGAUCAGAUACCGUCGUAGUCUUAACCAUAAACUAUGCCGACUAGGGAUCGGAUGAUGUAAUUUUUGAUGA
rnacentral:rRNA from 1 species